rnacentral:rRNA from 1 species
GCCUACGGGGCGCAGCAGUGAGGAAUAUUGGUCAAUGGGCGGGAGACUGAACCAGCCAAGCCGCGUGAGGGAUGAAGGUACAGAGUAUCGUAAACCUCUUUUGUCUGGGAACAAAGGCGGGGACGUGUCCCCGGUUGAGGGUACCUGAAGAAAAAGCAUCGGCUAAUUCCGUGCCAGCAGCCGCGGUAAUACGGAGGAUGCGGGCGUUAUCCGGCUUUAUUGGGUUUAAAGGGGGCGCAGGCGG